rnacentral:rRNA from 1 species
CAGUAGCCGCGGGAAUACGAAGGGGGCUAGCGUUGUUCGGAUUUACUGGGCGUAAAGCGCACGUAGGCGGACUUUUAAGUCAGGGGUGAAAUCCCGGGGCUCAACCCCGGAACUGCCUUUGAUACUGGAAGUCUUGAGUAUGGUAGAGGUGAGUGGAACUCCGAGUGUAGAGGUGAAAUUCGUAGAUAUUCGGAGGAACACCAGUGGCGAAGGCGGCUCACUGGACCAUUACUGACGCUGAGGUGCGAAAGCGUGGGGAGCAAACAGGAUUAGAUACCCCAGUAGUCCCUGUCUCUUAUAC